ACGCUGACAGAAUGCUUAACACAUGCAAGUCGAUGAUGGGAGCUAGCUUGCUUGAAGAAGUCAUGGCGGACGGGUGAGUAACGUGUAAAGAACUUACCAUAUAGACUGGGAUAACAGAGGGAAACUUCUGAUAAUACUGGAUAAGUUAGUAGUAGCAUUACUAAGUAAUGAAAGGUAGUAAUACGCUAUAUGAGAGCUUUGCAUCCUAUUAGCUAGUUGGUGGGGUAAAAGCCUACCAAGGCGAUGAUAGGUAGCCGGCCUGAGAGGGUGGACGGCCACAAGGGGACUGAGAUACGGCCCUUACUCCUACGGGAGGCAGCAGUGGGGAAUAUUGGACAAUGGAGGCAACUCUGAUCCAGCAAUUCUGUGUGUGUGAAGAAGGUUUUAGGACUGUAAAACACUUUUAGUAGGGAAGAAAGAAAUGACGGUACCUACAGAAGAAGCGACGGCUAAAUACGUGCCAGCAGCCGCGGUAAUACGUAUGUCGCGAGCGUUAUCCGGAAUUAUUGGGCUUAAAGGGCAUCUAGGCGGUUAAACAAGUUGAAGGUGAAAACCUGUGGCUCAACCAUAGGCUUGCCUACAAAACUGUAUAACUAGAGUACUGGAAAGGUGGGUGGAACUACACGAGUAGAGGUGAAAUUCGUAGAUAUGUGUAGGAAUGCCGAUGAUGAAGAUAACUCACUGGACAGCAACUGACGCUGAAGUGCGAAAGCUAGGG
rnacentral:rRNA from 1 species